rnacentral:rRNA from 1 species
UACGGGGGGAGCAAGCGUUGUUCGGAUUUACUGGGCGUAAAGGGCGCGUAGGCGGUCAGCACAAGUCAGUUGUGAAAUCUCCGGGCUUAACUCGGAAAGGUCAACUGAUACUGUGCGACUAGAGUGCGGAAGGGGCAACUGGAAUUCUCGGUGUAGCGGUGGAAUGCGUAGAGAUCGGGAAGAACAUCGGUGGCGAAGGCGGCCUGCUGGGCUGUUGCUGACGCUGAGGCGCGACAGCGUGGGGAGCAAACAGG